rnacentral:rRNA from 1 species
UAGAGUUUGAUCAUGGCUCAGAUUGAACGCUGGCGGCAGGCCUAACACAUGCAAGUCGAGCGGUAGAGAGAAGCUUGCUUCUCUUGAGAGCGGCGGACGGGUGAGUAAUGCCUAGGAAUCUGCCUGGUAGUGGGGGAUAACGUUCGGAAACGGACGCUAAUACCGCAUACGUCCUACGGGAGAAAGCAGGGGACCUUCGGGCCUUGCGCUAUCAGAUGAGCCUAGGUCGGAUUAGCUAGUUGGUGGGGUAAUGGCUCACCAAGGCGACGAUCCGUAACUGGUCUGAGAGGAUGAUCAGUCACACUGGAACUGAGACACGGUCCAGACUCCUACGGGAGGCAGCAGUGGGGAAUAUUGGACAAUGGGCGAAAGCCUGAUCCAGCCAUGCCGCGUGUGUGAAGAAGGUCUUCGGAUUGUAAAGCACUUUAAGUUGGGAGGAAGGGUUGUAGAUUAAUACUCUGCAAUUUUGACGUUACCGACAGAAUAAGCACCGGCUAACUCUGUGCCAGCAGCCGCGGUAAUACAGAGGGUGCAAGCGUUAAUCGGAAUUACUGGGCGUAAAGCGCGCGUAGGUGGUUUGUUAAGUUGGAUGUGAAAUCCCCGGGCUCAACCUGGGAACUGCAUUCAAAACUGACUGACUAGAGUAUGGUAGAGGGUGGUGGAAUUUCCUGUGUAGCGGUGAAAUGCGUAGAUAUAGGAAGGAACACCAGUGGCGAAGGCGACCACCUGGACUAAUACUA